rnacentral:lncRNA from 1 species
AUUAGGUGGGGGCAUCUGGAUCAAGUGGGAUGAGUAGCUUUUUGAAAUAUAUUAAAAGAUCACUGCUGGAACUUGGCGCAACUCUUACGGAAACAAAUCUGCCUGUCCUCUACUCACAGAUGCAUCAAGAGAAUCCUUCUGUUUCCUCAGCAUAUCUGCAGUGUGACACCAGCUCAUUGCAUGUGCAGCCCUCUGCAGCUCUGCAGGAGCCCAUGGAUGUGCAGCCCUCUGCAGCUCUGCAGGAGCUGUGCUGGCAUCCAGAGCACUGUCAGAAGAAGCAGCUGCUGAGCAAGGCCUCAAGUGUAGAUUUAACUUCAAGGCCCUGCAAUCUUUGUUUCUGGUGAGACUGUUGUCCUGUUUAAAAGAGCGGACAGAUCUAAGCACCUUGUUGAAGCAAGGUGUAGUCAUAGGCAAGAAUCUAAAAAUCCAGCUUUAAGAAGGCUGUCAUCAAGUGGUUUGCAUCUCCACAGAAGUACAGAGCCAGAGGGCAGCUGCUACCUCUGUGCCUUGUUAUCAGGAGUUGUGUGUUGGCUCUGAAGGUAGCAAAAUCCACUAAACCAGAGAAUCUCUAGACAUACGUAAUUAUCAGCUUCCACUGAGUCCUGAUUUGGACACCUGGUUCCCUUUCUAGCUGGAGAACUCACGUGUUGAUAAUAGCUGCUCAUUUUACAGAAGAGAAACAAAGUCUGGAGGAGAAAAAAACCACAUUCCUAAUGGUAAUGUUUAUCAAAAUCUGGUUAAUUGUGGCCAAGAGUUUUGGUGGUCACAGACAAUGUGAAGGGGUAUUAUUUGUGGGAAAAUGUGAGCAGCUCACAUUUUUUUUGUUGGUUUACUAGCCCAGAUAAUUUAGAUUAGUCUGAUGGAAUGGACAGAUUAGUGCAGUUCAAAGUAUUUAUGGAAGUGUUUACUCCAUACUUAUUUUGUUUUGUUACACUCACUAGAUGAUAACCAGGUUGACCUAAACUAUAUAUCACAAUUCUCAACUGGAUUAUUUAUUGUUCCUGCUGCACUGUUCUUAAUAAUUUCAUGUAUGCUGUAAUCUCAAAAAUAGAUUAAUGGACUCUGUUGGAUAUAGUAAAGAGAAUAGUUUUGUUCAGAAGUGUCAUAAGACACACUGUGUAGAGAAUAUUUUCACAUGUUAGGCAGCUGCCUAGUGAAUUAAAUUCUGUAGCAGAGCCUUGAUCAGAUGUUUCUGGCGUCAAGCUGAACUGCUGGUGGCAUCAGUGCUCACUAAAUAAGUAAAUCCUGAUGUGUUUAAUGCAAACCUGAAAUAACAGUUUGGGAUGGUGGUAGUUUAAAUGUAGGUAGGAUUGGGAAAUGGACCCUGGGCAGGAGCAAGUUUUG